UACGUAGGGGGCAAGCGUUGUCCGGAAUCAUUGGGCGUAAAGCGCGUGUAGGCGGUUCGGUAAGUCUGCUGUGAAAGUCCAGGGCUCAACCCUGGGAUGCCGGUGGAUACUGUCGGGCUAGAGUGCGGAAGAGGCGAGUGGAAUUCCCGGUGUAGCGGUGAAAUGCGCAGAUAUCAGGAGGAACACCGGUGGCGAAGGCGUCCCUCUGGCCGGAUACUGACGCUGAGACGCGAAAGCGUGGGGAGCAAACAGG
rnacentral:rRNA from 1 species